GCAGUCGAACGAGAAGCCGGGGCUUGCCCCGGUGGAGAGUGGCGAACGGCUGAGUAACACGUAGGAACCUACCCUUAAGCCUGGGAUAACGGACUGAAAAGACCGCUAAUACCGGAUAUAUCCUUCGGGAGGAAAGCUCCGGCGCUUAAGGAGGGGCCUGCGGCGUAUUAUCUUGUUGGUGAGGUAAUGGCUCACCAAGGCAAUGAUGCGUAGCUGGUCUGAGAGGACGAUCAGCCAGACUGGAACUGACACACGGUCCAGACUCCUACGGGAGGCAGCAGUUCAGAAUCUUGCACAAUGGGCGAAAGCCUGAUGUAACCAUGCCGCGUGUGCGAAAAAGGCCCUCGGGUCGUAAAGCACUGUCAGGAGGGAAGAAAUUGACGGUACCUCCAGAGGAAGCCACGGCUAAUUACGUGCCAGCAGCCGCGGUAAUACGUAAGUGGCGAGCGUUAUCCGGAAUUACUGGGCGUAAAGCGUUCGUAGGUGGCGCAGCAAGUUGGAUUUGAAAUAUCGGGGCUCAACCCCGGACCCGGAUCCAAAACUGCAGUGCUAGAGCAGAUCAGAGGGCAGUGGAAUUCCCGGUGUAGCGGUAAUAUGCGUGAGAUCGGGAGGAACACCAGUGGCGAAGGCGGCUGCCUGGGGUCUUGCUGACGCUGAGGAACGAAAGCUAGGGGAGCGAACGGGAUUAGAUACCCCGGUAGUCCUAGCUGUAAACGAUGGGCACUAGGUGUCGGGAGCUUCGACCCUCUCGGUGCCGCCGCUAACGCAUUAAGUGCCCCGCCUGG
rnacentral:rRNA from 1 species